rnacentral:misc_RNA from 1 species
AACAUCGCGCACCUGCGGGAACCUGCGGAAGGAUCAUCAUCGAAUUCAUAUCCCCCUCCUCUCCCGGAGGGGGACCCAUGAUAAACCCUUCUGUGCACCGUAACCGUUCACUUUGGCAGGCUUUGGUGGUGAGCGUGAGAUCGCCUCCAACCUCGCGUUCCCUCCCUAAGGGGUGUUACGCGUGGCGGCCUGCCGGAGUCCCAUUAAAAAACUCGUUUUCGAACACGUCUGAAAAUUUCC